UUCCGGUUGAUCCCGCCGGACCCCACUGCUAUCGGGAUAGGACUAAGACAUGCUAGUCGUGUGCCUCAGCCAAAACGAGGCACGGCGCACAGCUCAGUAACACGUGGCUAACCUGCCCUUAGGACGAGAAUAACCCCGGGAAACUGGGGCUAAUGCUCGAUAGGUGAAGAACUCUGGAAUGAGUCUUCACUUAAAAGAGUCUGCGUUAUGCUCGUAGAUUUCGCUUAAGGAUGGGGCCGCGACCGAUCAGGUUGUUGGUGAGGUAAUGGCUCACCAAGCCUUUUACCGGUGCGGGCCGUGAGAGCGGGAGCCCGGAGAUGGGCACUGAGACAAGGGCCCAGGCCCUACGGGGCGCAGCAGUCGCGAAAACUUUGCAAUACACGAAAGUGUGACAGGGCUAUCCCGAGUGCCAUCCGCUGAGGAAGGCUUUUACCCAGUCUAGAACGCUGGGGGAAUAAGGAGAGGGCAAGUCUGGUGUCAGCCGCCGCGGUAAUACCAGCUCUCCGAGUGGUGUGGAUGUUUAUUGGGCCUAAAGCAUCCGUAGCUGGCUAAGUUAGUCCCCUGUUAAAUCCAACGAAUUAAUCGUUGGAUCGCGGGGGAUACUGCUUGGCUAGGGGACGAGAGAGGCAGACGGUAUUUCCGGGGUAGGGGUGAAAUCCUAUAAUCCCGGGAAGACCACCAGUGGCGAAGGCUGUCUGCUAGAACGCGCCCGACGGUGAGGGAUGAAAGCUGGGGGAGCGAACCGGAUUAGAUACCCGGGUAGUCCCAGCUGUAAACGAUGCAGGCUAGGUGUUUGGACGGCCACGUGCCGUUCUAGUGCCGCAGGGAAGCUGUUAAGCCUGCCGCCUGGGGAGUACGAUCGCAAGAUUGAAACUUAAAGGAAUUGGCGGGGGAGCACCACAAGGGGUGAAGCUUGCGGUUUAAUUGGAGUCAACGCCGGGA
rnacentral:rRNA from 1 species